ACAUCGGUAGCACAGUGGUUAGUGCAGUCUGCCGGAAACAGAAAUACGCGGGUUCAAUUCCCGGCCGAUGUC
rfam:Nippostrongylus brasiliensis genome assembly, scaffold: NBR_scaffold0001398